CUUAAAGUAAAAUAUUGAAUUACAGAAUGUAAUUAUAAUAAAAGUACUUGCCAAGUUAAAGUAGCCCUCGUGAAUGCGACUGAAAAACAAUUAAAAAGAUAAAGUAAUUCUAAAGCAUUAAAUUAUGACAACUAAGUAUUUCAUUCUGGUUUUGCAUAUACAGCCAAUUCAAAAAAGUACCCCUGUACCGCAGAUUCAAUUCGGGCCCAUAAUUUCAAUAGUUUUUCGCAGCUAUACUUCUGGCCAGGUUUGAAAUGUAGACAAAAUUACACUCGUAAAACCUUCAAACAUUUAGUUCUAUUGAGUGAGAUGCCCUGGUCAUGUCCAUUCAAAGUGGCGAUGGGGUGGGGGUACCCCUACCCUGGGGAUCAGGGGGUUUCCUGUUUCGCCGAAGCUGUAGCCUAUACACUCAGGCGGUGCUGGCUAAGCUUGGAAACCUCUCGCCUGACACUAGAAAACCUCUGAACCCAGGGUAGGGUACCCCCAAAACAUGUAAAAUUUGAGUAAUUUUUAAAAUACCCCGCGUGCAGGCCCAAGGAUUAAAAGGACUUCGUCCAUAAAAUACUGUAUAGUAUAACUGUUAGUCUUCCGUUAAUAGUUCAUAUUGUUCAAUAAUGAGUAAUAUGUAAAACUGUAAAAUGAUGAGUAAAACACAAAACAAGUGAAACUCCAAAAAUCGAUAACAUUU